rnacentral:lncRNA from 1 species
UCUGUUACGGAUGGGACUUUUGCUUCUCCGAUUUCUCCCAUAUUCGAUUCCUGCCUCAACUCCGCAAGACGCACAAACAAAGAACUAUGAAGAAAAGGGAAUCUUGCGGCAGCGCGAUACGAGAUGAAAUUAGAUAGACGAUCGGAAAUGACUGAAUGGAAAUUAUGUGACCUUUCUAGGCCCAAUACUAGGUUAGAAUCUAUCUGAGCCCAUCAGGCC